AUAAGACUGUACACUAUCUCGCAGGGGAGGAUCGCUAUUCCGGAUCUAGUGACAAUCCACAGAUAUCUCAGAGAAAACCAGUUUACCGGUACAUGAAUGUGGAUGAACAAGUAGUCUCUUCACCAUAGAACAUCAAACAUCCAGAAAAGACUACUUUUAAAGACUCAACCAUAACUAUCCCAUGACCACAUCUGAAGCCGUCCCUAACUUGCAAAGUUGGGUAGAUGUCCAACACCCUUCCACAAUCACAGAAUCAACUCCAGUUACAGGAAUGCAGACUUCACAGGACCCCUGUCUCAGUUUCAGACAGAGACGAACAAGGGUUCGCCAUCUAUGG